GGGUGCGAUCAUACCAGCACUAAUGCACCGGAUCCCAUCAGAACUCCGCAGUUAAGCGUGGGAAGUCCUCGUGUUGCACCCC
rnacentral:rRNA from 1 species